GAGUUUGAUCAUGGCUCAGAUUGAACGCUGGCGGCAGGCCUAACACAUGCAAGUCGAGCGGUAGAGAGAAGCUUGCUUCUCUUGAGAGCGGCGGACGGGUGAGUAAUGCCUAGGAAUCUGCCUGGUAGUGGGGGAUAACGCUCGGAAACGGACGCUAAUACCGCAUACGUCCUACGGGAGAAAGCAGGGGACCUUCGGGCCUUGCGCUAUCAGAUGAGCCUAGGUCGGAUUAGCUAGUUGGUGAGGUAAUGGCUCACCAAGGCGACGAUCCGUAACUGGUCUGAGAGGAUGAUCAGUCACACUGGAACUGAGACACGGUCCAGACUCCUACGGGAGGCAGCAGUGGGGAAUAUUGGACAAUGGGCGAAAGCCUGAUCCAGCCAUGCCGCGUGUGUGAAGAAGGUCUUCGGAUUGUAAAGCACUUUAAGUUGGGAGGAAGGGCAGUAAAUUAAUACUUUGCUGUUUUGACGUUACGACAGAAUAAGCACCGGCUAACUCUGUGCCAG
rnacentral:rRNA from 1 species